rnacentral:lncRNA from 10 species
UGGGUGGCAGCUGAAAUCAGACAUCUUAAUGUAUGAUAUUAUGGGAAUUACCCACAUUAAGAUAAAAUAUCUGGAUUUAAGUAACUGUCUUUUGCUCUGAAUUAACUUGAAGGUUGAACUCAGAAAACAAAGGCAAACGACUUGGGGCUAAGCAACUUACUCCACAGCCAUCGUGCCCGGCUGCCGCUCUGGUGGGGGCACUAUGUAGAAAUGUUGGUGGCAGUUUUCACUUCUCCUAAUUGACAGCAGAAGAUCUAGCUGUGCUCCAGCAUUCUGGACAUGAAGGGAAAUGAGAAGGCUAGCCUGUACCCAAGAUGUGAGCUUCUAAAAGAAACAGGAACUAGGGUCUGCUUCAUUCCUGAGUCUUCAGCACUUAGCAGAGUCCCUGAUAUAUAGCGGAUCUUUACAAGUAUUUGUUGAGUGAAAGAAGAGUUUAGAGAAGCAGCAUCAAGAGAGGCUCUGAUGUGGCUUCAUCACUAACUGCAGCAGGACAACAUCAGUGCACAUUCGGAGCCCGUUUUAUAGAAUGGACUGUGAAGGCAAAGUGUCAAAGAGGGAAAAGGCAGCAUUGCAAAGACAGAGCAGGC